rnacentral:hammerhead_ribozyme from 1 species
AUCUAGCUGACGAGUUCCAUAGAGGACGAAACGCGAGUUCUGGAU